rnacentral:rRNA from 1 species
AUGAAGAUCCGGAAGAUUGUGUUAAAGUGGGUCUGGCCCAUUUCUGCAAGCUUAACCCGUCACCAGAUGCUAAGUCUGACUUUUGGAAAACGAAGUAUGAUCAUGAGGCUGCUAAGAAGGCUAGGGCCGCCAAAAAAGCUGCCAAGAAAACCACCAAGAAGACCACCAAGAAGAAAGAAACCAAGUGCUUCUGAACUGCUCAAACUAGAUGAUACCUCUGAGUCGGAGGUAGCCCUUGACUCUCUUGGCUCUUUUUUCAAUUAUCUUAUUGACACUGACUAUUAUCAAGCUGACACGGGAGCCAGCCAAGCAGAAGAAGAAGAGCAAUAG